CUUGAACGCUGGCGGCGUGGUUAAGACAUGCAAGUCGUACGGGUGGAGCAAUCCACCAGUGGCGAACGGGUGAGUAAUGUAUCGCUAACGUGCCCCGAAGUCUGGGAUAGCUGCCCGAAAGGGCAGGUAAUACCGGAUAAGACCACGAGGUCGCAUGACCUUGUGCUCAAAGCCGCAAGGCGCUUUGGGAGCGGGCGAUAUCGUAUCAGCUAGUUGGUGAGGUAACGGCUCACCAAGGCGAUGACGCGUAGCCGGACUGAGAGGUCGACCGGCCACAUCGGGACUGAGACACUGCCCGGACUCCUACGGGGGGCUGCAGUAACGAAUCUUGGGCAAUGCGCGAAAGCGUGACCCAGCGACGCCGCGUGCGGGACGAAGUCCUUCGGGAUGUAAACCGCUGUCAGGGGUUACCAAGUUCUGAGGAACCCCAGAGGAAGUGGCGGCUAACUCUGUGCCAGCAGCCGCGGUAAGACAGAGGCCACAAGCGUUAGGCGGAAUCACUGGGCUUAAAGCGUGUGUAGGCGGAUCGUUAAGUGCCUUGUGAAAUCCCCCGGCUCACCCGGGGAACUGCUGGGCAUACUGGCGAUCUUGAGCCAUCUAGGGGCGACUGGAACAGACGGUGGAGCGGUGAAAUGCGUAGAUAUCGUCUGGAACGCCAAGGGUGAAAACAGGUCGCUGGGGAUGUGCUGACGCUGAGACACGAAAGCCAGGGGAGCAAACGGGAUUAGAUACCCCGGUAGUCCUGGCCCUAAACGAUGUCCACUAGAUCGUGGUCCCUCUGACGGGCUCACGGUCGAAGCCAAAGUGCUAAGUGGACCGCCUGGGAAGUACGGUCGCAAGGCUA
rnacentral:rRNA from 1 species